AAUCACAAAUAUGACACUUUGUAUUGACAAAAUACCAACAAAAUACAAAUUACUGACAGAUUGCGAAAAUGGAAAUAGAGAGGGAUAGUUUUAUCCAAAGACGUGAGAUAGAAGACAAUGUUUUUUUACGGCAAUAGAAACUUGGUCCCUUUCAGCCUGGAACGGGACAUAGAUUCACAGAGUGCAAAAAGAAACGUCAGGUUAGCUAACUCAGGGUUAUUUUCCAUUAGCGCAAUCAAAAGUCCGGGUUAAAAUUUUACAAAGUUAACCCUGAGUUAGUUACCUCUGAGUUUAUAUUUUUAACCCUGUGAUCCACGCAAGUGGGCCUUAGAGUUU